rnacentral:rRNA from 1 species
GAUGAACGCUGGCGGCGUGCCUAAUACAUGCAAGUCGAGCGAAUGGAUUAAGAGCUUGCUCUUAUGAAGUUAGCGGCGGACGGGUGAGUAACACGUGGGUAACCUGCCCAUAAGACUGGGAUAGCUCCGGGAAACCGGGGCUAAUACCGGAUAACAUUUUGAACCGCAUGGUUCGAAAUUGAAAGGCGGCUUCGGCUGUUACUUAUGGAUGGACCCGCGUCGCAUUAGCUAGUUGGUGAGGUAACGGCUCACCAAGGCGACGAUGCGUAGCCGACCUGAGAGGGUGAUCGGCCACACUGGGACUGAGACACGGCCCAGACUCCUACGGGAGGCAGCAGUAGGGAAUCUUCCGCAAUGGACGAAAGUCUGACGGAGCAACGCCGCGUGAGUGAUGAAGGCUUUCGGGUCGUAAAACUCUGUUGUUAGGGAAGAACAAGUGCUAGUUGAAUAAGCUGGCACCUUGACGGUACCUAACCAGAAAGCCACGGCUAACUACGUGCCAGCCGCCGCAGUAA